UACGAAGGGGGCUAGCGUUGCUCGGAAUCACUGGGCGUAAAGCGCACGUAGGCGGCUUUUUAAGUCAGGGGUGAAAUCCUGGAGCUCAACUCCAGAACUGCCUUUGAUACUGAGAGGCUUGAGUCCGGGAGAGGUGAGUGGAACUGCGAGUGUAGAGGUGAAAUUCGUAGAUAUUCGCAAGAACACCAGUGGCGAAGGCGGCUCACUGGACCGAUACUGACGCUGAGGCACGAAAGCGUGGGGAGCAAACAGG
rnacentral:rRNA from 1 species